AAGUCAGAAAAAAAAUUAAAGUCAGAAUUCUGACUUUAAUUCGUAACAACAUUUUUUAAUUAUUAUUCUGAGAUUAAAGUCAAAAUUCUGACUUUAAUUCAGAAUAAUAAAUAUUUUUAAAUCAUUAUUCUGAGAUUAAAGACAGAGUUCUGAAAUUAAUCUCAGAAUAAUUAUUUAAAAAAAAUACUAUUAUAAAUUAAAGUCAGCGUUUUGACUUUAAUCACAGAAAAAUUGUUUAAAAAAAUUAUCCUAAAUUAAAAUCAGAGUUUUGACUUUAAUCAUAGAAUAAUAAUUUAAAAAAAUUAUUACCCUGAAUUAAAGUCAGAGUUCAGAAUUAAUUUAGGAAAAUACUGUAAGAAAUUAUAUCUGUCCUUUUUUUUUUUCUAGUGGCCCUUAUGGUCUUCCGUAGCACACAGCUGUUUUAACAAUUUUAACAUGAAAAAUCACAAUAGACAAAACUCAGACAAAACGACUAAAUGAACACGAGCUGAAAUUCCUUACUGGAGCUUUAAAUCAAAUAGACAUCUGUAUAAGACUGCAGGCUUUAGCGUACGUAAGAGUGACCACGGCGUGACGUAUUGAUCAGGUAAAAGGAGAUAUAACCUCAACCACAAAACUUUAGCAGCUCUGUUUUGUUGUUUAACUGUCAGAGUUUUUUCAUCCUGAACGUUCCCUCUUUUUUUUUAAACUCUCUGAAACAGGUCAGUAUUUUGGUCCUCGUUGAGUCAAACUUCUCUCCAGGUUAGUUCUUCUUGUAAAAGCAGCUCUGUAGUCACUUUGUCUGGAAACACACUGAUGUAGCGCCCCCCUUUGGAAGCGUUUAAACUCAGCUGUGUGAUGCAAACUGAGAUAUUUUUUACAAUCUGAAAGCCGCAGGCUGAAAUAUCUCAGAGUUAGUAAUGCUAAAAGCUUUGAUAGUCAAGGUGAAGUGUUAUGAAGAGGAUCUGGGGUCCACCACUGUGUACAUACUUCUGCAAGAAUCUCUUAUUUACAGUCUCAGGCCUGAAACAUUCACCUCUGAAGGCCCUGAGAUAAGCACACACAGCUGCAGCUGCAGACCGGACUCUGAUUCAGACCUGAACGUUCAGAUCAGAUCAGAUUCAGAAGAAAGCAGAGCUCAACAACAACAAACAGCUGCCGGGGUGUCAGUGAUCAAUACGCUUCAACUGUAACUACAAGUGUGAGCUCGUCGACGUUCAAAGUGCACAAAUCAAUCAGAAAACACAGAUUCUGCAGGUUUGUUUCUGCUUUUCUUCAGACUAAAUCAAGCUGCAGGUGUGAGUCGAAUGAAAAUGUUAAACCGCAGAAAUAACCUCCAGGGAGAGGCGGACCUUCCCUGUGACCUGGAUUAAAUAUUGAUGGAUGUGAUAAUAGAGGAUGGGACGCUGGUGUCGGAGUCAGGUGAGGGGUCAGUCUUUUGUAAAUGAACUUUAGGAGGAGGGGGUUAACUCAGGCGUGUUUUCCCAGGCCCUGAAACGAGUCGUAAAAUCUCCAUUUAGAAAUGAAAUGUUAAUCGAUUUUGAUGCGACGCCGCCGCCUCCAUCAGCAGUGAGAGCGCUGCGAACACGAGCAGCUGCACUAAAAGUUAACCUUCAGAUUUAAUUAAAACUCCAGACAAGGAAAAAAAAAAACACCUCCCUCCUGACUGAUGAGUUAUUAGUUAGUGGAAUUUGCAAGUAAAUUAGUCACAUCAACCAGGCGGCCAGAUUUAUUCAGCGCUUCAUCAGGAUGUCAGGAGAGGUCGUCCUCCUGUUUUAAGGGUCACUUCUUCAGUGACGCUGGAAGAGGUUGUCGAAGUGCAAAACAAAGAUGGUGAAAUGAAAAUCACUCAUCAUCGAACCUUUAAAACGUCUCAUAAAUGUGGUUUUUAGAGGAUAUUUAGCUGAGAAUCUUUAAGUAAUAAAGACGUCUGCGUCCGUGAUGGAGGUCGUAAAAGAAAACCAAACAAAAACCACGACUGUGUUUCUCUUUUCUGGAAACUACGACUGAGAUUUCCUGGAAUAUCAACCAAACAUCAAAUAUCUGCGGGAAGCAAUAAAGCGGUUCAGCUGAGAGUUUCUGUGUCAGAGGAAGCUGCUGUGAUGGAGUUAAAAAAGCUGCAGGACAACACUGACAUCUAGUGGAGGAAGGAGGAAACUGCAGGUUGAAAAGGUACUGCCAGAUACUUCAGUGAAAUACUUGUUGCAGCAUCAAAGUAGGACAUCACAAGGACUUGGUGUAAAGAGGAUCUACCUAAAACUGUCCAGUGGAAGAACAAUAUGAAAUGGAGAAACUCACAAAUACAAAUCUAUUCAUCUACUCUUCCAAAGGGGGCGCUACAUCAAUGUGUUUCCAAACAAAGUGACUACAGAUCUGCUUUUACAGAUUUACAAACCUGGAGAGAAGUUUGACUCAAUGAGGACGAAAAAAAACAAACCUGUUUCAGAGUCUAAAAAAAAAAAAAGGAUGAAAAAACUCUGACAGCUAAACAACCAAACAGAGCUGCUGAGGUUGGAUGAGGUUAGUUAUAUCUCAUUUUACUCGAUCAAUACAUCACACCGUGGUCACUCUUAUGUACGCCAAAGCCUGCAGUCUUAAACAGACAUCUCUUUCAUUUAAAGCUCCAGUAAGGAUCUUUCAGUUUGUGUUAAUUAAGCAGUUUUGUCUGACGAAAAUUCACAUUUUUCUGACUUUUUGACAAAUAUUGUUUAAUAUUUUAUGUUGAAAUUGUAAAUACAGCUGUCUCCUAUGGAAGACAAUUAGGGCCUCUGGAAAAAAAAGAGAAGGUCCAAAAUCAUUUUUUAAAAUCAUUUUUCUGAGAUAAAAGUCAGAGUUCUGACUUGUUUUCAGAAUAAAUAUUAUAUAUAGGACUUUUUUUUUUUUUUUUAGUGGCCCUAAUCCUCUUCCGUAGUCUCCUCCCUCACGCUGGUUUUGGCUGUUAAUAUUUACAAAAUUAAAAUAAAAAGAGACAAUAUCUAAUCUGUUCACACUACUUUAAAAAAUGGAAAAAAAAUACAGCUGUCUCCUACAGAAGACAAUUAGGGCCACCAGAAAAAAAAAAGGUCAAAAAUAAUUUUUUAAAUCAUUUUUCUGAGAUAAAACUCAGAAUUCUGACUUUUUUUCAGAAUAAUUAUUAUAUAUAGGACUUUUUCUUUCUUUUUUUUUAGUGGCCCUAAUCCUCUUCCGUAGUCUCCUCCCUCAAGCUGUUUUUUGACGUUAAAAAUUACAAAAUUGAUUUUUUUUGUGAAUGACACCAUGUUUUGUGUUUUUCUUUUUAUUUAUAUUUUUCUUUGAUCGUAUGUCUUUUUUCUGUUAUGUUCAAAAAUUGCAAAUAAAAUUUAAGUUAAAAAAAAAAAUCAGACUCCCAUUAAAGAAAGAAAGUUCGACUCCAGGAACCCAAAAACCAAGUUGGCAGGUUGGAGGUGUGGUGCAUCUCUGCAGCCCAAUAAAUUAACUGGUCCCAGUCCGGUUCCCAGACUCGACUGUGAUCUUGAGUCGAUGACCCUCCUGUUCCCAGUUCAGGUCCCUGCAGACUGUUUCAUUUUCAGGGUAAAUGUGGACUUAUCUGCUGACGUCUGAAACUUUUAAAACACAUCAUCAGUUUGGUUUUAAAAUUCUGUCCUCUGUGUUUCUGAUCCGUCAGGUGGACUCUGCCUCCUCUUCACUUAAACCAUCAUCUCAUUAUAAAUCCAGACUCAGCAGAAGGUUCUCGUCUGCAUGACCUGACUUUGGCGUUAAACGAAUCUCGUGCCUGUCGCUGAAACAUCUGCAUCUCCGCCAUUAUUCACGCAGCGUGCGCUCUUUUCCGGUUCACCUCUGAGGUCGCACAGCAGUGAGAUUUGAACUCGUGUAAAACUUUUAAUAACUAACUGCUGCUAACCUUCGGCGCCGACCUUCACGGGCUGUGAUUGAAGCGGCGGCUCGGGGGUGGGCGCUCGGCUGAAGGUUAGAGAGCGCUGUGAUGAGAGCGGAGGCUGCUGGGAGAGUAAUUGGUGUUUUUUUUCCCCUCUCUGUUAAAAAGGUUUGAUUAAAGAUGUAAAAACGUCGUGUAGAUGUGGAGACGCUUUGAGAGGCAGAGAAGACAAAGUGGACAGAUGAUGAGUUAAAGCUUUAUUACCUCUGCUCUCCUCACCUGAACGAGGCGUCUUAACAUUUCUGUCACUAUUUAAAAGGUCAA